CCUACGGGUGGCAGCAGUGGGGAAUCUUCCGCAAUGGGCGAAAGCCUGACGGAGCAACGCCGCGUGAUCGAAUGAAGGCCUUCGGGUUGUAAAGAUCUGUUGACAGGGACGAAUAAGCAAUGCAAAUAGUUUUGUGUAUGACGGUACCUGUUUAGAAAGCUCCGGCUAACUACGUGCCAGCAGCCGCGGUAAUACGUAGGGAGCAAGCGUUGUCCGGAUUUACUGGGUGUAAAGGGAGCGUAGACGGCUGUGCAAGUCUGAAGUGAAAGCCCAGGGCUCAACCCUGGGACUGCUUUGGAAACUGUGGAGCUAGAGUGCUGGAGAGGUAAGUGGAAUUCCUAGUGUAGCGGUGAAAUGCGUAGAUAUUAGGAGGAACACCAGUGGCGAAGGCGGCUUACUGGAUAGUAACUGACGUUGAGGCUCGAAAGCGUGGGGAGCAAACAGGAUUAGAUACCCGGGUAGUC
rnacentral:rRNA from 1 species